rnacentral:lncRNA from 1 species
UGGUGGCACUAUGGGUCCUGAUGGUGGUAACAACUGCUGAUGCCCAUCUUGGCCUGGGGCACUGAGAUCGCCCGGAGAUCACAGUGUUAGCUUCAGGGCGGGGUAGAAAUUAGAGGAUAGGGGAUCUCUAGGGCCUGGUGAGUUGAGGGCCUAAGGGGAGUGGGUCUCAGGCUCCUUCCAAGCCUCAGCCUAGAUCAGGCCCAGGAACCCAGUGUGAAUGUGUGUGCUGGGGUCGGGGAUAAGGUGCUUCUCUCCCGUUGGAAGGAGAAGGAACAUCUGGGCUGGGAUUCCAAAAGAGCUGAGCGGGGGAGAACGGUGGCCCUGGUGUGGUGUGUCCAGGGGUACACCACUGGAAGGGAAGGAG